rnacentral:rRNA from 1 species
UACGGAGGGGGCUAGCGUUGUUCGGAAUUACUGGGCGUAAAGCGCACGUAGGCGGGUUGUUAAGUCGGGGGUGAAAUCCUGGAGCUCAACUCCAGAACUGCCUUCGAUACUGGCGACCUUGAGUCCGGGAGAGGUGAGUGGAACUCCGAGUGUAGAGGUGAAAUUCGUAGAUAUUCGGAAGAACACCAGUGGCGAAGGCGGCUCACUGGCCCGGUACUGACGCUGAGGUGCGAAAGCGUGGGGAGCAAACAGG